rnacentral:rRNA from 1 species
CAGUAGCGCGGAAUACGAAGGGUGCAAGCGUUAAUCGGAAUUACUGGGCGUAAAGCGUGCGUAGGCGGUGAGUUAAGUCUGCUGUGAAAUCCCCGGGCUCAACCUGGGAAUGGCAGUGGAUACUGGCUCGCUAGAGUGUGUCAGAGGAUGGUGGAAUUCCCGGUGUAGCAGUGAAAUGCGUAGAGAUCGGAAGGAACAUCUGUGGCGAAGGCGACUAUCUGGGCCAACACUGACACUGAGGCACGAAAGCGUGGGGAGCAAACAGGAUUAGAUACCCCAGUAGUCCCUGUCUCUUAUACAC